rnacentral:rRNA from 1 species
GACGGAGAGUUUGAUCCUGGCUCAGGGUUAACGCUGGCGGCGCGCAUAACACAUGCAAGUCGAGCGAGGGCUUAUUUCUCGCAAGAGAGAUAAGUUCCUAGCGGCGAACGGGUGAGUAACACGUGGGCAACCUUUCCUAUCGCGGGG